GAAGAUUUUGAUGUUAUUUGAGAAGAGUUCAUGAAAAUACGAGUUCGUGGGUGCAAACAGAGCUCUAAUCGAAUGUCGGAUGAGGGAGAACGGACAUCGGGAAGUUCGCGUGUCGCGAACACACGCAGCCGCAUGCCUAACCGCGCCUCACGGAGGUCCCGCAGGCAAGGGCCGCGACCGCGGGGCAAUGUAGAACUUUCGAGCAGACAGCGCAUGCCAAGGCCG
rnacentral:lncRNA from 1 species